rnacentral:rRNA from 1 species
CAAGGAAGACUAGUGUUAUUCAUCUUAAUUAGGUUUAAAGGGUACCUAGACAGUAUUUCUAGCCUCAAAAGGGGAACAGACUUACUAGAGUUUUAUGGGAGAGGAAAAUAUUAGAACCAUUGGAGUAGAGAUAAAAAUGUUUUGAUACUAAUGGGACGGAUAGCGGCGAAGGCAAAACCUCUAUGUAAAUAACUGACGUUGAGGGACGAAGGCUUGGGGAGCGAAUAGGAUU